AUGAACGCUUGCGGCGUGCCUAAUACCUGCCAGUCGAGCGAACAGAUGAGGAGCUUGCUCCUCUGACGUUAGCGGCGGACGGGUGAGUAACACGUGGAUAACCUACCUAUAAGACUGGGAUAACUUCGGGAAACCGGAGCUAAUACCGGAUAAUAUAUUGAACCGCAUGGUUCAAUAGUGAAAGACGGUUUUGCUGUCACUUAUAGAUGGAUCCGCGCCGCAUUAGCUAGUUGGUAAGGUAACGGCUUACCAAGGCAACGAUGCGUAGCCGACCUGAGAGGGUGAUCGGCCACACUGGAACUGAGACACGGUCCAGACUCCUGCGGGAGGCAGCAGUAGGGAAUCUUCCGCAAUGGGCGAAAGCUUGACGGAGCAACGCCGCGUGAGUGAUGAAGGUCUUCGGAUCGUAAAACUCUGUUAUUAGGGAAGAACAAAUGUGUAAGUAACUAUGCACGUCUUGACGGUACCUAAUCAGAAAGCCACGGCUAACUACGUG
rnacentral:rRNA from 1 species